GGGGAAUAUUGCACAAUGGGGGAAACCCUGAUGCAGCAACGCCGCGUGAGUGAUGACGGUCUUCGGAUUGUAAAGCUCUGUCUUCUGGGACGAUAAUGACGGUACCAGAGGAGGAAGCCACGGCUAACUACGUGCCAGCAGCCGCGGUAAUACGUAGGUGGCAAGCGUUGUCCGGAUUUACUGGGCGUAAAGGAUGUGUAGGCGGAUAUUUAAGUGAGAUGUGAAAUCCCCGGGCUUAACUUGGGGGCUGCAUUUCAAACUGGAUGUCUAGAGUGCAGGAGAGGAAAGCAGAAUUCCUAGUGUAGCGGUGAAAUGCGUAGAGAUUAGGAAGAAUACCAGUGGCGAAGGCGACUUUCUGGACUGUAACUGACACUGAGGCUCGAAAGCGUGGGGAGCAAAC
rnacentral:rRNA from 1 species